AAUAUUGCACAAUGGGCGCAAGCCUGAUGCAGCCAUGCCGCGUGUAUGAAGAAGGCCUUCGGGUUGUAAAGUACUUUCAGCAGUGAGGAAGGUGGGUAUGUUAAUAGCAUACUCAUUUGACGUUAGCUGCAGAAGAAGCACCGGCUAACUCCGUGCCAGCAGCCGCGGUAAUACGGAGGGUGCGAGCGUUAAUCGGAAUUACUGGGCGUAAAGCGCAUGCAGGUGGUUUGUUAAGUCAGAUGUGAAAGCCCGGGGCUCAACCUCGGAAUUGCAUUUGAAACUGGCAAACUAGAGUACUGUAGAGGGGGUAGAAUUUCAGGUGUAGCGGUGAAAUGCGUAGAGAUCUGAAGGAAUACCGGUGGCGAAGGCGGCCCCCUGGACAGAUACUGACACUCAGAUGCGAAAGCGUGGGGAGCAAACAGGAUUAGAUACCCUGUAG
rnacentral:rRNA from 1 species